AUUGAACGCUGGCGGCAGGCCUAACACAUGCAAGUCGAGCGGAUGAAGGGAGCUUGCUCCUGGAUUCAGCGGCGGACGGGUGAGUAAUGCCUAGGAAUCUGCCUGGUAGUGGGGAUUACCUUCCGGAACGGGCGCUUAUUCCGCCUUCCUUCUUGGGGAGGAAGUUGGGGGUUCUUGGACCUCCCCCUUUCCGGUUAGCCCUAGGUCGGAUUAGCUAGUUGGUGGGGUAAAGGCCUACCAAGGCGACGAUCCGUAACUGGUCUGAGAGGAUGAUCAGUCACACUGGAACUGAGACACGGUCCAGACUCCUACGGGAGGCAGCAGUGGGGAAUAUUGGACAAUGGGCGAAAGCCUGAUCCAGCCAUGCCGCGUGUGUGAAGAAGGUCUUCGGAUUGUAAAGCACUUUAAGUUGGGAGGAAGGGCAGUAAGUUAAUACCUUGCUGUUUUGACGUUACCAACAGAAUAAGCACCGGCUAACUUCGUG
rnacentral:rRNA from 1 species